rnacentral:lncRNA from 1 species
AAAACAAUGAGCCACCGUCAGCUACAGCCCGCGAAAUUCUCAAAGUUUAACAGAAUCAAAAGUUGAAACAAACCUGCCAGUCAGAACCCAGCCCGACUCUUUUUGAGAAUGAUUGGUUGCAGUAAAAGGGGAUUAGGAAAGGGAUUGAAGAAAUUGUAUAACUGAAACAGCUCUUAACAUGUUAUCAUCACUGCCUCAUUUGGCACCUUGAGUUUCAACUCCAAAUCUGGCUGUCGCCCUACGGGAAACAGCAAAAGAGACAACAAUCAAAGGGGCAAUAAGCAGUGUAAUGAAGUGAAUGUUGUGGCCCCCAUGGUUGUGGAAUAGAAAGGUGCUCCUAGCAGCAGCAGCAACAACAACAGAGGAACGACAAUCAGAGACAAAGAAAAGUGGGUGCCAUACAACUAUGAAGCCCAAGGAGAGCGCCCUCGAAGAGAAUUCACCCGGCUGGUAUUAUGGUUAAGCCAAUUCCUGCCUAAAUUGUUGGAGCACAGUCCAGGCCAUUCCCUACCAGUUGUCAUCUGCUUUUCCUGUCUCCCCUCAUGCAACAAAUGAACAAAUCUUCACCAAAAGCUGACUCUAUGGAUAGACAGAUAGUGCUCCUCACUUUUCCAUGAGAACAAUGAAAACCUCCUUGCAGCUUUGCCUGUUGCCCUUCGGUGGCAUAUCAGGAUGGAUAACAAAGCCACCUUCAACCCUUGGCUUAGUAAACUCUUCAUCGAGCUUCUACUGAAUUUUGCUCACCCCAACUCCUAGUAACAUUGACAAAGUCAAUCGAGCCUAACCUAUCAAAGUGCCACAACAUCGAAAGGUUGACUUUGUCAACUCCUUGCUCGUGUCCUUGAUAAAAGAGAACAGCCAGCCCCCUGCUUUCGAUAGAGAUCUUACCGUCUAGCUCUUAAAAUCGCGACUGUUGUUAUGGGAAAAAAAAUAAGGAAGAAAAUAUUUCUUAAAAUUUGC